rnacentral:tRNA from 1 species
CGAGGUCGAUGGCGUACGGGCCGCCGGGGCUCGCGCCCCCGCCGAGAUCGCCGACGUAGCGGUUGCAGAAGCCGGUCGGCUGCGA